AUUGAACGCUGGCGGCGUGCUUAACACAUGCAAGUCGAGCGGAGCGGCGAACGGGUGAGUAACGCGUGAGUAACUGCCCCCCUCUCUGGGAUAACAGUUGGAAACGGCUGCUAAUACCGGAUAGUGGGGGAUGACUCGCGUCCUAUCGGCUUGUUGGUGGGGUAGUGGCCUACCAAGGCGACGACGGGUAGCCGGCCUGGGAGGGCGACCGGCCACAUGGGUCUGAGAGAGGGCCCAGAGUGCAACGGGAGGCAGCGGUGGGAAGUAUUGCACAAUAGGGGAAACCCUGAUGCAGAAGCGCCGGGUGCGGAAUGACGGCUUUCGGGGUAUGAACCGCUUUCGGCCAUGACGCGGUAGUGGCAGAAGAAGCACCGGCUAACUACGUGCCAGCAGCCGCGGUAAUUC
rnacentral:rRNA from 1 species